GUUUUAAAAUUUAUAUCAUAAGAACUGUGAUAUAUCUUAUUAGGUUUAUUGGAAACUAUUAGGACGAGGGUUCGACUCCCUCCAGCUCCACGAGUUUCUGUAUAUCUUUUCUCACUAUACCAUUGCGGUUUGAGUAAAAAAGAUAUAUUUUAAGGGGCUGCUUGGAUUUGACUAGUAGUGAAAGGUAAAAUAGGUUCACUUUAAAUUUAAAUGGCAAUACAUUUGUCACUGAUUACACUGCUCUAGGAGCGGCGUAAAUCAACGUGCUAACUACGAAAAUGAGGGUGUCUAGUAGCUUAACCGGAUAAAGCCCUGGAUUUUAUCAGGAGAUUGUGGGUUCGAAUCCCA
rnacentral:tmRNA from 1 species